ensembl:lncRNA
ACCUGGGCUCCCACGUGACCCUCAUCCCAUUGCCUGCUCCGAGAGCAAGAGUUUUCGGGGUUAUUUUUGCUCUGAGAAGUACCAGCCACAGGGUACUUUCUCUGCAGGCAGCCGCCACCCCCUGCUGUGUUUACAUAAAAACACAUUUGCACAGGGUUUUGUUUUUACAUUUGCCUCAGAGGCCUGGAGUCUAUUAAAUGUGGGGAGGCCUGAUGAUCUGGCUGGAAGCAGCUGAUGGGAGAGGGCAGGCUGAAGGAAGAUGCUCUAGGCCUGCAUUUCCUCCCAGUCCCAGGGAGCCCUGGGUCUCUCUGCAGAGGGGAUAAAAGGGCUCACUGAACUCUCUUGUGCAUGUGCCCGGCAUUUCUCAACCUCAGCCCCACUGACAUUUGGGGCUGCGUGAUUUAUUGUUGAGGGGGGCUGCUCUGUAUACCGCAGAAGCAUCCCUGGCUUCUGCCUACCAGCAUCCUUCCACCAGUUGAGAUGAUCAAAAACAUCUUCAGUCGCUCAGUCGUGUCUUUGUGACCCCACGGACUGCAGCACACCAGGCUUCCCUGUCCAUCACCAGCUCCCGGAGUUUGCCAAGUGUCUCCUGCAGGGCAAAAUCGCCCCCACUUGAGAACCACUGGCACACACACGAAGAUACACACACGAAAGCUCAGCUCAGGAACUCUCCGCCUUUCAACGCCCACCUGAAACAAGCGCUGACGCUGUCUCCCGCACCUCUGCAUCCCUGGCUCUUUCCCCAGUGCCUGGCGUGCAACGUUUGAGAGGCUCAAAGGCGUUCUGUGGCAUGAGCAGACCAUGGCGGCACGACUGAUACCGACGGCCACCGGUUUCCGCGGCUGGGAGGGCACUGUCCGGCAUUCGGACUCUGGCCACCAUGCAGCAGAUGUGCUGAACGCAGGCAACUCUGACCUGACCUCAACUGUGACUGCCCUUGUGGGAGCUACCGAGAGGCACCGUGAUCCCUCCCAGGUCUGACCAAGGGACAGGACAAAGGGGAGCCUCUGGGCCAUCAGCCAUAGAAGGUUCUGCUCCUCCGUGUUAAUUCAAGAGCAUCCACAGCUCCUGCUGAGCGGCUGAAGAGCUCUCUGGAGCCUCUUUUCGAGUGAAAACAGUCAUUUGCAAGAGCUCACGAUGCAAGGAGCAGACGGAAUGGCACAGUUGCACCACAGCCAGCCUUUCUCACAGCCCAGAGCCUGUGGAGCCACUUGGAGGAACAGCAGCUGCCGCGGGCUGGUGGGAGGGUCUGGGGACACGGAGGAGGGCCCAUCUCCACGGCUCCCCAGAACAAGCCAGGGCUUUCACAGCAAAGGGGCAGCAAGCAUGUCAUGCCUGGUGCGUUUGUUUCCUACGGCGGCUAUAACAAAUUGCCAAAACUGGAGUGGGAGAUGCUUAAACAAUAGGAAUUUAGGCUCUCGGAGUUCUGGAGACCAGACGUUCCAAAUCAAGGAGUCAGCAGGAGGCAGGAUUAGUUCCUUGUGGAGGUUCUGAGGAAGAAUCCGUUCCAUGCCUCUGUCCUAGCUCCUGGUGGUUGCUGGCCCUCUCUGGCAUUCUUUAUAUGAUAGAGGCAAUACUCCAAUCUCUGUUGCCAUCUUCAAAUGCAUUCAUUCUCUCUGUGUUUGUCUGUUUUUUCU